rnacentral:pre_miRNA from 1 species
AUGGAGAAUCUGUAAAGCUCAGGAGGGAUAGCGCCCGGCCCAGAGGUGAUGAUAUGAUUGAUCUUCAAUUCAUUUUUAUCAACAAUCAUUAAUUACCUCACUUAGCUUGUUGGGCGCUAUCCAUCCUGAGUUUCAUUGCUUCUUCAU